rnacentral:rRNA from 1 species
GGAAUCUUCCACAAUGGACGAAAGUCUGAUGGAGCAACGCCGCGUGAGUGAAGAAGGUUUUCGGAUCGUAAAACUCUGUUGUGAGGGAAGAACAAGUACAGGAGUAACUGUCUGUACCUUGACGGUACCUCAUUAGAAAGCCACGGCUAACUACGUGCCAGCAGCCGCGGUAAUACGUAGGUGGCAAGCGUUGUCCGGAAUUAUUGGGCGUAAAGCGCGCGCAGGCGGUCUUUUAAGUCUGAUGUGAAAGCCCACGGCUCAACCGUGGAAGGUCAUUGGAAACUGGAAGACUUGAGGACAGAAGAGAAAAGCGGAAUUCCACGUGUAGCGGUGAAAUGCGUAGAGAUGUGGAGGAACACCAGUGGCGAAGGCGGCUUUUUGGUCUGUAACUGACGCUGAGGCGCGAAAGCGUGGGGAGCAAACAGG